GGAAGUAAAAGUCGUAACAAGAUUUCCGUAGGUGAACCUGCGGAAGGAUCAUUCAUAAUAAAGUGUUUUAUGGCACUUUUUAAAAAUCCAUAUCCACCUUGUGUGCAAUGUUAGAUCUCGUCAAUCUUGGCGAGAUUUUUAUACAUCAACUCAUUCUUUAACUAAUUUGUCUGAAAAAUAUUAUGAAUACUUAAUUCAAAAUACAACUUUCAACAACGGAUCUCUUGGCUCUC
rnacentral:misc_RNA from 1 species